CCUCGGCGGAAUUUGAACUCAGAACGUAAAGAGUGACGAAAUUCCGCUUAGUAUUUUGCCCAUCGUGCUAAGGAGUCUAGCAAGCAAAAUAAAAUUUAUCUUU